AUAUAUUGUUUUGUUUAUUCACUGUCAUGUCUAUGUUCUUGAGCAUAAAAGACAUUGUUUUUAGAUGUCUUGAAGGCAAAAUGAAACUCAGAGCUUUUAUUUAAAUUUGCUUUCUGUACUGUCUCUGUAUUUUCGCUUUUGUUAAUGUAAAACUCUAGGAUCAUCCAACAACAGGUGUAGAACACAUUAAUAGUUCAAAUCUUAAGGGAAAAAUAAAAUAUUCUUUGGCUAUAGAUUUAAAAUUUCUUCCCUCUUCUUCUUUUAGUUUAAGAAAAGAGUCCUCUUUGGACUUGUAUUUAUUUUUCCCACAAUUAGAAUUGGAUUUUUACUAUUCCUAAGCAAAAGCUUUAAUGUUGGUGAUUGUAGUGUUUUAAUAAUAGUAGUUGUAGUGUAAUAGGACUAUGGUUUGGGAUCGGGUUUGUGCUACUACUAGGAAUGCUGCUGCUGCUUCCCACUUUCCAGUUUUAUAAGAUGUAUUAUGCUGAUAUCAAUUAAUGUACUCUGACAGCAGGAAAUCAACCUUUUUUUUUUAGUAUAAUAUGUAACUACAAAGUUUAAGAUACAGAGGAUGUCAGGACCUAUCAUUUCUUCAGCUUUAAUUAUUAUUUUCUAUGGAUCAAGUUGAACAUAAAAUCCCAAAGCACUAGUGAAGUCCUAGAGUUCUCAUUCUUUUUGCUUUGGUCACCAGGAGUAGUCCUACUAUAGAAAAACAAUGUCUGACAAUCAGAUGUAUGAUUUGGGAGGUGCUGAUAAGGUGGUUGGCAGAAUAUGAGCAGAAGAAGAGCAUAAUGAAACAUCUGGGAAAAAUUAGCUUUCUUAGUAGGGGAACCUCAAGUCCAGCCUGUUUAAAUCUAGCUACAGUAAAGAAAUUAGCACAUUCCUCUGAGAAACACAACUAACGUCAUGUCUGAAAUAGGUGUUUUCUUUCUUUCCUGGGGAGGAAAGCUAUGACAUGCCAUUUCCCCCCAAUAACCUUUUAUUAGAGGCAUCCUAAUAAAAUCUUAAGAUGAUGGGGAAAGUUGUAAUUUUUCAGCUGGAUUCAUUCUGUAGAGGUAGGGUUCUUCAAAAUAAAGAACUUAGCCUAGACUGGCCUUCUUGGUCUGUUGAUUCAUCUCACCCUUUAUUCUUAAGCAGUUUUUCAAACACUUGGAAAUAAAAUGAUGUGAAAUUUCAAAGUGGGUUUGAAUUCAAACUUCACUACUUAGUCAUUGUCAGUUUUUGCCCGUGGGCAAUUCAUGUAAUCUCUUUGUGUUUGUUUCCUUAUCUGCAAUAUACAAAAAAUAGUUACCUCAUAAUAUUGUUGUGAGAAUCAAAUGAGAUAAUGUGUGUGAAUUGCCUGACACCAGGCACUCAAGAAGAGUUCAUCCUUUUGCCCUUCCUUGCCUCUCUGAUUCUUGCCCAUUGAUUAAAAAAACAAAAACAAAAAAACAAAGACUGAAAGUUUGUGAUUUUCAUUUUGCUAUUUUAAUAUUUAUAAGGGUUUUUCAUAUUUUGGAAGCCAUGAGUUUGGGAUCUUUUUAAAAUUACAAAACCUUUCUAACUGUGGAGGUUUAUGUUAUGAAAUUUUAUACCUAGAUGUGACAAAGCUUUGUGUCAUAGCCUAAAUGCCGUGACUUUACUUAUCACUAGUAGUUGGUAAUAAUGAUCUUUUGAAACCAUCACUUUGCAACCUAUAGACAAAAGGAUUCGUAAAACACUGAUUUUCCCCCAAGUAAACUUUUAGAAACUAACUUAUUUUGUGAGUAGAAGAUUUUAUUUGCUCCUCUGAACCAGUACACAUCUUAUAUAGGUUCACAUUGCCUCAAAAGUGAUGUUAUUAAUGUAUAGAGAAAUAGUAACAUUUAUUAUCAGUCAAAUGGUGUGCUAAACACUUUAAAUGUAUUAUCUUAGUGUACCAUAAUGAUAAUAAUAAGGUGAAUAUUAUAUUCCUCAUUUUAUUGAUGAAGAAAUUGAGGCAAGUGGAGGUAAUUUAGCAGGGCACACAGAGCUAGUAAGUGAUUGCAUUUGGAAUUACUUAAAACUCUAAAAAUCAGAAUGGUAGGAAAAAGGUUUAUUCCUUUUUCACACUGUCUGUCCAGGUGGAUUGCCAAGGAGGCAUCUGCUAAUUACAGUCCUUUAGGGAUCCAGGCUGAUGGACUCACCAUCUAGACAAAUUAUUCUCCUUUUAUCAAGAAAGGAAUAAGGGUAUAUGGUGAAUCAUACACCACUAUUAAAGCAUCUGCCCAGAGGUGACACACAUUAUUCAUGCUCACAUUUCAUUAAUCAGUUUAAGUUAUAUGGUCAUGCCUAACUUCAGAGGGACUAGAAAAUGCAGUCUGAUCAUGUACCAUGAAAGAUGACUGGUGUAUUUGUGAACAGCCCUAGUGACUAACACAGAGAUGGAGUGGGGAUCGAAUCCAGAUCUGUCUAUCUCCAAAAUUAACUCCCUUAAUUACUUCAGCAAAUUGAUAGGACCUUACCUUCAGUAAGUAAAAGUUUGUGGCCAUUAACCAUAGGAAUAAUAAUAUUCUUCUGUCUAUGAAGAAUCUAAUAAAUGUCAUAAAAUAGCAGUAGAAUCUUCAAUUGUCUCAGUCUGUGCCUGGUCCUAGGUAUAUUUCCUAGGUAUGAUGUUUUCAGGAUCCAGUCACUUUCCUGUGUUGACUCUGUAAAGUAAUAUAAAGUCAUUUCUACAUUUCUUCUCUCGUUUGAAAAAUUGAAGAUAAGAGAAAUUGUGAGAACAUAUCUAAGGGGCUUCCUACAAAACGUCAGGUAUGGAUAGUCUUUUUAAGAUAUUUCUUUUUCUAACUGGUGUAUAUCAUUAGGAGUUACAUUUGGUUGCAUGUAAUAGAGCCCUUAUUGCAGGGCUUUUUCACUCGUAAAUAAGAAAUGCUGAAGUGAGCAGUCCAGGCUGAAGAUGCAGCUGAAAAUGACAUCGGGGACCCAGAUUUCUUCUGUGUUUCUGUCCAUCCUUGUAUGUAUUUGCCUUUAACCUUCAUGUUUUUUGCUCCAUAGUCACAUGAUGUUCUAGGCAAAAAGAAGAGGUAAAAGCCUAUGCUUGCUGAGUCUGGCCUGACGUAAGGCCUUCUACUUACAUCUUUUUGGAUAAAGUAUAUCAUUAAUUAGUGUAAUAUUACUAGCUGAACACAUUACCACCUUGAAUAAAAUUUUGGAUUUUUAAAAUAAGGAAGAAAAGAAUAGAUAUGGAGAAGCAGCUACCCACUGACUGCCACAAAUUUGUAAGAGUUCAUUGUAAAUUAAAGCUGUCAACCCCUUUGCCACCACUUCUUUUGUAUAUGUGGGGGAACAUAUUAUCACAUAGACAUUGUGACAUUUUUGUAGUUAAAUCUAUCUUUGUUCCUUUUAUUUAUUUAUUUAUUUUUAAACAAUCUGCACUAUAGAGUUUUUGCUGUUGUUAUUUAAAAGAGUUAGAUCAAGGAUCUCAGGCCCAAGGUACAAAUAUGACUCACAUAUGUUUAAAACAUGGACUUAGUGUUUUUAUUUUUUUCUAAUUUGUGAAUUCCUUCAGGAAGGAUAUAUGGUCCAGUUGUUUUACAACCCUCGCCAGUCUUUGUUAUCUUGUAGAUCCACCUCGUUCAUAUGUUUAUGUUAUGUAUCUGGCCCUAUAGGUAUCUGAAUGUACCAGAUGUAUCAGAUGUACCAAAACCUGGAUCUCUAACUUGUAUGUGUCUCAUGGACUAGUGUGAGAGAAUUAGUAAACUUAUCCAUUGCUGCCGUUAUUUUAUUGUUAUCAAAUAGCAGGAAACUUGUAUUAGACUGCAGUUGAAACUGAAUUAACUAAUUUGUACCUAAAUGCCUCUUUUAGUUUGCUUGGUACAGAUUAGUCAUUAUAAUGGCAACACCUUUUUGUAGUGUUUGAAUAUAUUAAUGUAUAAAACUAAAUUUAGACUUUAUCAUCUAUAUGGAAAAUUAGUAUUGGCGUCUUAUUGAAAUUCCUUAGGUAAUAUAUAAGUUAUGAAUUUAAAGAAAUUAUUUAUUUAGAAAUUAUCAUAUAUUUAUUAGAGUAAUAUUGCUUUUCAUAGUUCAAAGCCAGUAAUAAAAAUAUAAUCCCUUUUUCUGAAGAAAAAAUAUAGAUAGAAUAUAAUGAUUUGUCACAGACACUUUUUUUAGUAUCUUUCUUUUUUUAUCUUAACAGACUUUGCUUCGCCCUCUUCAAGCUUUAUGUUCUUUCCAGCUUCAGCAUGGUGCUCAAAUUCGCCUCAGCAAGGAACACCUUCUGAAAAAUGGAUUAUAUCCUAAGCCAAUGCCAAAGAACAAACGCAAACUCAGGAAAAUGGAAUUGUUGAUGAAUAGCAUUAAAAUUUAGCGCAAUUGUUCUCAUGGUGCUAGUUAUGAUGUCUUCAGCUGAGAAUACCGAGUUAACUUUUUAUACGUUUUAAAUGCGGGUUUUUGUCUAAUGAAUGAGAGUUACAUACUAAACUUACCCAGAAAAAGGAGUAAUCCAAAUAGCCAUAAAAGCAAACACACCAACAAAUUUCACUGACUCAGUAAAUUGCAAACUUUAUUGUUUUUAAAAUGUGCCUCUGAUACAUUUUUGUCAAAUCCGUAAUUUGAAACAUGAUUAGUUGUUGAGCUGGGUUAGAAAUUCCUAUUUAUGAAAUGGAAUGUAAGGAAAUUGGUGUGCCUAAUUGGGACAG
rnacentral:lncRNA from 1 species